GAUGAAGAACGUAGCGAAAUGCGAUAACUAAUGUGAAUUGCAGAAUUCAGUGAAUCAUCGAGUCUUUGAACGCACAUUGCGCCCCCUGGUAUUCCGGGGGGCAUGCCUGUCCGAGCGUCAUUGCUGCCCUCAAGCACGGCUUGUGUGUUGGGCUCCGUCCCCCCGGGGACGGGUCCGAAAGGCAGCGGCGGCACCGAGUCCGGUCCUCGAGCGUAUGGGGCUUUGUCACCCGCUCUGUAGGCCCGGCCGGCGCCAGCCGACAACCAAUCAUCCUUUUUUCAGGUUGACCUCGGAUCAGGCAGGGAUACCCGCUGAACUUAAGCAUAUCAAUAAGCGGAGGA
rnacentral:misc_RNA from 1 species